UACGGAGGGGGCUAGCGUUGUUCGGAAUUACUGGGCGUAAAGGGCGCGUAGGCGGCCUGCUAAGUUGAACGUGAAAUCCCUGGGCUCAACCCAGGAACUGCGUCCGAUACUGGUUGGCUUGAAUCCGGGAGAGGGAUGUGGAAUUCCAGGUGUAGCGGUGAAAUGCGUAGAUAUCAGGAGGAAUACCGGUGGCGAAAGCGACUCUCUGGACGGCAACUGACGCUGAGGCACGAAAGCGUGGGGAGCAAACAGG
rnacentral:rRNA from 1 species